AAAGCUUUGCCGUCUGCUGCUCUACACCGAUGACGGCAAAAACUGAAAAAAAAUGAAAGAAAACCCAACCACCCUACACCGAAAACAACUCCCCGCCCCACGUUUCUCCGGCGACCUAAUCCUCUCGCGAGCUCACCUCUCGCGUGUAGAGCUAGUGAGCGUUCCCCACCUCCGUCAACCACCUCGGUCGCCGCUAUCGGCCUCCCCGGUCACCGCCUCCUGGCCGCUCGCGCCCCUCGAUAGCGAUGGGCCGCUAGGUUCCUGCCCGCUGCCACUCUCACUCAAUCCGCUGCUGACAACCCUCGGCCGCCGCUACUCUCACUCAAUCCGCAGCUGACGUCCCUCCUCCGCCACCGCGGCCAUAGAAGGAGGCUAACCCAAGUAGCUAAUGCACGUUCCUCCUUCAGUGCCCCCGCCGUUCCCCUUCGACCUCCCGGGGCGUGGACACCAUCGAGCUCCGAGCCGGCGGCGCGACUGGCAUGAGCAUGAGCAGGAGCAGCAACUGCGUUGGCCGUGAGCCCAGCCACCUCCUCGUCCUGGAAAGACCAACUACAAACCAAGUAUGCCCAGUUACUAGCAGCUUUAGGCAGCCGAAAACACACGCACAAGGCGGCAAUGGCAAGAGCAUAUUGUGCAGAGGAAGAGGAUGA